UAAAAAAAAAAUAAAAUAUGUAUUUUUCUGUAUGCAUUACUGAUAGCUAUUAAACCAAAAUUGAAUAUGCUGUUAAUAAAAAGUCUUUUAGUGUCUAAAUAAUUAAUUUGAUAAUCAUUUUAUUUGUGAUAUCAAUACAGUAAUUGUGCUUGUUUAUUAUCUAUAAAUAACAUGAUGAACUUUUCUCAUCUCGAGUUAAUGUUAAAAACAAUUUGAUUUGAGUCUAAAAACAAAUAUUUUCAUGAUCUUUUUUGACAUUGUACAUGUUGUAUUUAAACAUGCAUUGUUUCAUGCAGUACUCUGUCAUAUUAACAAAAUGGUUUUAUUUCUACAGUCAUCAACAUGGAAUGUAUGACUUCAUCUUUAUACAGUCGGGUUCUGGUCCAUGGCGAAUCUCGGCAAGAUUUUACCCCCAGUGAAAAAGGCUUGUAAUCCACCGUUCCUCAACCUGGAAGAUAUGUUUUGUUCCUAACCAUCUAUAAUCCAUUCUCUAAGUGAAGUGAAGCCUGGCUGCUGGUCUUCCUUUGGAAAUACACAGUUUGUCAAUCAACAUAGAAACACACAAACUUGAAGGAUUCUCUUGUGAGGGCUUAUGGAAAUGAUCUAUGUCUACUCUUAGAAUGGUGAAAGACUUUCAGAUUAUGCAAAGACUAACAGAAUAUCCUCUCUUGGAACACUGAAACAAGAAAACCAAACUUAAGAAGAUGGAGGAUUUAAGAAGAACAUAGAUAAAUAUGAUUUCCAACCAAUUUAACCAAUACGGUCAUAGACUGUGGUUUACAGGAUGACAAAGAAAGGACUCAGGAUUGUAUCUUUCACUGUCAGACACUGACUAUGGAUAAAGUGUAAUCAUUUAUCAGACUGAGAUCUAGUCAAAUCAAGUAUUGAAAAUAUGAUUUUCUGAUAGCAUGAGCUCUUUAAAAACUAAUUCUCAAUGACCUCAAAGUAUCUGAAAGUGACUUUUAUUUUUACCAAUUCAUAUUGAAGACUGUUGUUAUGUAUGGGAAUUACACAUUUAAACCUUUUAUUUUUCAUCUAAUUUUUACAACCCCCUAGAAAUUAACACAGAUAUCCAGAUGCUGGAUUUAAUGUUAUUAUUUAACUUUCCUGGAAUUGUAAAUAUAUUUUGUUUGUGUAUGUAUCAUGUUUAAUUUUGAAUUUAAAUUGGGUCUCAAUAAGACCCCCAAUAAAGAUGCAAGUGUCCCAUAA